AAAGAGACAUUUUCUCCGGUCUCAUGUAAGGAUUCCUUCAGAAUCAUAAUGGCAUUAGUUGCUCAUUUUGAUUUAGAGUUACAUCAAAUGGAUGUAAAGACGGCAUUUCUCAACGGAGAUUUAAAGGAAAAUGUCUACAUGAAACAGCCCAAGGGUUUUAUCAUGGAAGGCAAGGAAAAUAUGGGAUGCCGCCUAAAGAAAUCCAUUUAUGGAUUAAAGCAAGCCUCUAGGCAGUGGUAUUUAAAGUUUAAUCAAACGAUUAAAAGUUUUGAAUUUAAAAAAAAUAUUGAGGAUAACUGCAUUUAUGCAAAGUUUAAAAAUGGGAAAUAUAUUUUCCUAAUCUUGUAUGUGGAUGACAUUCUGCUUGCUAGCAGUGAUGUUAGUCUACUACAAGAAACAAAGAAGUUCUUAUCCUCGAAUUUUGACAUAACAGAUCUUGGUGAAGCAUCAUAUGUUUUGGGCAUAGAAAUUCACCGAGAUAGAAACAAUGGAGUCUUA
rnacentral:rRNA from 1 species